rnacentral:rRNA from 1 species
UGGGGAAUAUUGCACAAUGGGGGAAACCCUGAUGCAGCGACGCCGCGUGAGCGAUGAAGGCUUUCGAGUCGUAAAGCUCUGUCCUAUGGGAAGAUAAUGACGGUAUCAUAGGAGGAAGCCCCGGCUAAAUACGUGCCAGCAGCCGCGGUAAUACGUAUGGGGCGAGCGUUGUCCGGAAUUAUUGGGCGUAAAGGGUACGUAGGCGGUCUAUUAAGUCAGGUGUGAAAGCGUGAGGCUUAACCUCAUUAAGCACUUGAAACUGAUAGACUUGAGUGAAGGAGAGGAAAGUGGAAUUCCUAGUGUAGCGGUGAAAUGCGUAGAUAUUAGGAGGAAUACCGGUGGCGAAGGCGACUUUCUGGACUUUUACUGACGCUCAGGUACGAAAGCGUGGGGAGCAAACAGG